UGCUCUACAUUUCCUGGUUGAUCCUGCCGGAGGUACCGUUAUCAGGUUCCGGCUUAGCCAUGCGAGGCGCGAGGUGCAAGACCUCGCCGGACUGCUCAGUAACACGUAGUUAAUCUAUUCUCAGCUGGAGGAUAAUCCCGGGAAACUGGGGCUAAUACUCCAUAGGCUCUGGACGCUGGAAUGCCCCAGAGCUGAAAGCUCCGGCGGCUGAGAGUGAGACUGCGGCGUAUCAGGUCGUAGUGAGUGUAACGUACUCACUAGCCUAUAACGCGUAGGAGACAUGAGAGUGUGUGCUCCGAGAUGCACUCUGAGACAUGAGUGCAGGUCCUACGGGACGCAGCAGGCGCGAAACCUUUCCAAUUCGUUAACGCGUGAGAAGGGGAGCCUGAGUGGCUAUGCAAUGCAUAGUCUUUUCUUCAGUCCAAAAAGCUGGAGGAAUAAGUGGUGGGUAAGACAGGUGCCAGCCGCCGCGGUAAUACCUGCGCCACGAAUGGUAAUCGAUUUUAUUGGGUUUAGAGUGUCCGUAGCCGGCUUGGCAAGUCCCUGGUGAAAUCUGGCAGCUAACUGUCAGGAGUGCUGGGGAUACUACCAGGCUUGAGAUCGGGAUAGGGCAAAGGUACUCCACGUGUAGGA
rnacentral:rRNA from 1 species